UACGAAGGGGGCUAGCGUUGUUCGGAAUCACUGGGCGUAAAGCGCACGUAGGCGGAUCUUUAAGUCAGGGGUGAAAUCCCGAGGCUCAACCUCGGAACUGCCUUUGAUACUGGGGAUCUCGAGUCCGGGAGAGGUGAGUGGAACUGCGAGUGUAGAGGUGAAAUUCGUAGAUAUUAGGAAGAACACCAGUGGCGAAGGCGGCUCACUGGCCCGGUACUGACGCUGAGGUGCGAAAGCGUGGGGAGCAACAGGAGU
rnacentral:rRNA from 1 species